rnacentral:lncRNA from 1 species
CGGAUUUCCAAAGUUUGUUACUAAAUCUAAUUUCUAUAAAGCCUCACUUCCAAUCAUUAUUGAGGGGAUUCGAUCAUUGAACAUAAUUCCAGAAAUGACCACAAUUCUCUCUGAAUUUCUCACUAAGCCUUCACAAAGUCUCCUUCGAAAUACUCCAUCAAAGCUUCACAUUGAAGCCUUAAUGGAGUAGAGCUCAGCCACAUCAUCAUCUUCAACCUCUCAAAUACAAUCUCCAUCACUCUCCCUCAACCUCAGUAAAGCACCUUCC